GGGCAAAUGGUGUAGUUGGUUAUCACAUCCGCUUAGCAGCAUCGAAAUACUGGAUGCGGAAGGUGUUGGGUUCAAUUCCCAAUUUGUCCA